rnacentral:rRNA from 1 species
AGUCGAGCGAGCGGAACUAACAGAUUUACUUCGGUAAUGACGUUAGGAAAGCGAGCGGCGGAUGGGUGAGUAACACGUGGGGAACCUGCCCCAUAGUCUGGGAUACCACUUGGAAACAGGUGCUAAUACCGGAUAAGAAAGCAGAUCGCAUGAUCAGCUUUUAAAAGGCGGCGUAAGCUGUCGCUAUGGGAUGGCCCCGCGGUGCAUUAGCUAGUUGGUAAGGUAAAGGCUACCAAGGCGAUGAUGCAUAGCCGAGUUGAGAGACUGAUCGGCCACAUUGGGACUGAGACACGGCCCAAACUCCUACGGGAGGCAGCAGUAGGGAAUCUUCCACAAUGGACGCAAGUCUGAUGGAGCAACGCCGCGUGAGUGAAGAAGGUUUUCGGAUCGUAAAGCUCUGUUGUUGGUGAAGAAGGAUAGAGGUAGUAACUGGCCUUUAUUUGACGGUAAUCAACCAGAAAGUCACGGCUAACUACGUGCCAGCAGCCGCGGUAAUACGUAGGUGGCAAGCGUUGUCCGGAUUUAUUGGGCGUAAAGCGAGCGCAGGCGGAAGAAUAAGUCUGAUGUGAAAGCCCUCGGCUUAACCGAGGAACUGCAUCGGAAACUGUUUUUCUUGAGUGCAGAAGAGGAGAGUGGAACUCCAUGUGUAGCGGUGGAAUGCGUAGAUAUAUGGAAGAACACCAGUGGCGAAGGCGGCUCUCUGGUCUGCAACUGACGCUGAGGCUCGAAAGCAUGGGUAGUGAACAGGAUUAGAUACCCUGGUAGUCCAUGCCG